UGGGGAAUAUUGCACAAUGGGCGCAAGCCUGAUGCAGCAACGCCGCGUGAACGAUGAAGGUCUUCGGAUCGUAAAGUUCUGUUGCAGGGGAAGAUAAUGACGGUACCCUGUGAGGAAGCCCCGGCUAACUACGUGCCAGCAGCCGCGGUAAUACGUAGGGGGCUAGCGUUAUCCGGAUUUACUGGGCGUAAAGGGUGCGUAGGUGGUCCUUCAAGUCGGUGGUUAAAGGCUACGGCUCAACCGUAGUAAGCCGCCGAAACUGGAGGACUUGAGUGCAGGAGAGGAAAGGGGAAUUCCCAGUGUAGCGGUGAAAUGCGUAGAUAUUGGGAGGAACACCAGUAGCGAAGGCGGCUUUCUGGACUGCAACUGACACUGAGGCACGAAAGCGGGGGUAGCAAACAGG
rnacentral:rRNA from 1 species